ACUCUUAUUAUUGUUAUUAUUAACAACUAAAUUGAAGUCGGACUCCGAUCCGACUGAGUUCAAUAGGGUUUCGUCCCAAACCCUAACUCUUCCUGCGAACGACGACAGCUUCUGAGCCUUCAUCAGUCCAACAAAAACCCUCUGGUGAUUGCUAUACCUAUCAUUAUGGAAGCUAAGUUCUUCCGCUUUCUUAAGAUUGUGGGUGUUGGUUUCAAGGCUAGAGCUGAAUCAGAAGGUCGUCUCUUGUACCUCAAAUUGGGAUACAGCCAUGAAGUUGAACUGACUGUGCCUCCAGCUGUCCGUGUGUUUUGCUUCAAACCCAAUAUAGUUUGCUGCACCGGGAUUGACAAGCAAAGGGUGCAUCAGUUCGCUGCUGCUGUUCGUAGUUGUAAGCCUCCUGAAGUUUACAAAGGGAAGGGUAUAAUGUACAUUGAUGAAGUUAUCAAAAAGAAACAGGGAAAGAAGUCAAAAUGAUUGCAGAGUUGCGUUGUUUGGUUUUCUGCUUGGAAUGCUAUGCCUUCUAUGGGAAGGGGCAUCCCCACCCCCUUCCGGGGAGGAAGUGGAGGUAGUCUUAUAUUCUUCUUGAAGAAAGGUUCUUUAAUGGUAAACAUUGAAAUUCAGAUAGCAUGGUUUCAAGAGUUAAUUUUCUGUUCAUCAUUACUCAAUCACAGAAUAUGGUGGCAACAUUACCAACACUUUGUUGGAGAAUCAGAUCGUAUGAUAACAAAAAUUUUAAACUUUGCUCGAUUCAUGAGGACUACUUCACCUUCCAAUGCAGCAUUGUUGUGAAAACUUUGAAGUGGGCAACUCUGAAUUGAAGGAGUUCUUGUUUGGUUCAUAGGUCAGCUGCCUUGUUCUCUUUUGUACCACAGAGAUUGCAUUCUAAAGUGGUUGAACAAGAGUCACACAUGCCCUGGGUGUUGCUUUGAGCUGAAUAACGAGCUUGUUCUGCUGAGAUUUUGAUAACUGUCCUUGAUUUCUGAAUAGUGUUUCAAAAUCUGCAAUCAAUUCGCCUGUGUUUUUAUCUUGGCUUGUCACAAUCUGUAGUCAGCCCUCCAAAGUUCUAAUGGAUUUACAAAACCCUAAACUAUGUUGAUAACUCCACCUCCUCACACAAGCUUUAGGGAAGCAGCAGCACAAUGUCGUGGUGCCAUGUAACCUCUGAUUAACGGUUACAGUAAAUAACUGUAAACUGGAUUGCUAACUCUAUAUUUGUCAUAAGAACAUCCUGCUUAAAAACAGUUUUUAACCUAGUUUCAAGAAGGCUUGAAAUUCAAACUCAGGCAAGCCCAUUAAGGCUAGGUUCCUUGACCAAUUCAAUAUACUGAAACUCAGGCAGCCCAUUGUUGCUGGAGUUUUGAUGCUUGAACAUCCUUUUGACAUUGCCCUUCGUUGACACAGUGGUAAGCUUGUCAUCCAAUUUGUUAUUCUUCUCAUCCAAUUUGUAUUCGAGUAAAUGUGUAGAUGAUUGAGAAUCCUUUGUACGAUCAUCAAUGCAGUGUCAUCAUUUUGCAACUAAAAUGUAUUUUUAUCUUUAUUUAUUUCAAUGUAUAUCUACCAUCUAUAUUAGUUUU